GAGGGCCAAGUAGUAGAUGCAAAGCGGAAAGAAAAUGGCGGCCGUGGCUGCGGAGCCAGGAGCUGCUGCGGCAUCAACAACAGCGGGGGACGGGGUGGACUACGAACCCGAGCCAGGAGAGCAUGUGGUCGACCUAGAGGCCCACUCCGUCCCAAAAAUUGAGCUUUGUCACCAACCCGAGGAUGUAGAUGCAGUUCAGGAAUGCAGCCAGGUCCAAAUGGAAAUCAGAAGGCCGGACCUUCAAGCCGCGGGAAAAGCCCUCGCUGCCCAUGCGGUCUGUGAGCGCCCCGAGACGGGGGGUUCCUGGGGCCGCCUGGGCACAAUCGAGCAGCCCGUGCUUAUGGACUACAGGUGUAAAGAUGUUUCUGAUUACGAGGAAUCUUUGUCGCCGAAGGUGGAGGCUGCAAACGAGGUCAGUGCUCUCGAAUCCAGCCCCUUCCUCCUGCUCCCCAGCUCCAUCCCACACUCCCAGCCCUCUGUGGUCUUCUUGCAUUCCCUUCCCGCGGAGGUUCCGUCGGAGCCCGAAACUGGAUUGUCUCUGGCUGUCGAAUAUGACUCCAAGCCCGUGUUAAGCCAUCCUACCGAUCUGGAGUGUGAACUCAUAGGCUUCACGCAGCCGGACCCGGAGCCCGAACCCGCAAACGAUGCUCCCGAGUCGGAACUCAAAACUCACGAGGAUGCUUUCCAUGACAUCCCGCACCCCUCGGACCACCUCGACUCUCUGUCCGCUGCAGAGGAGACCUCGCUGGGAGAAUCGGUGGAUCAGAGCUGCAUCAGUGACUUGUCUACCGUUUCCAGUAAGGACUCUCCCGAACUUCCCGCGGUGGUGGAUCAGGCGCUUGUCUCGUCGGAGGAAGUGCGCUCGCAUCCUCUUCAUCAGCAGAGUUUCGAGACGGACCUCAGCGAACCCGAGAGGGAGUCGGAGAUGAAAGCCCCGGUUCUGUGUGCGACAGAGACCGACACGCUUGAGCGCCUGGUGCUCGGCUCCGAGGUUCGAGUCACGCUGGAUCACAUCAUCGACGAUGCGCUCGUGGUGUCGUUUCGCUUAGGCGAGAAGAUCUUCUCCGGGGUACUCAUGGACCUCUCCAAAAGGUUUGGACCUUAUGGGAUUCCUAUAACUGUGUUCCCCAAGAGAGACUAUAAGGACAAACCAGAAUCUAUGCAGCUAAAGAUGGAAGCAUUCCAGUCAGAGACGGAUAAGGCCGUCACUCAAGGACCUAGUGAUGCCCCCAUUAAGGACCCUGCAGAUGCUCCGGAUACCCCUCUGAAGGACCCUGCGGAGGCUCCUGCAGCGCCCCAGCCCUGUCCCAACCCUCAACCUAACCCAUGGACCUCAAAACCACCUCCUUUGUUUCAGGAGGGGGCCCCUUAUCCACCUCCAUUGUUCAUCAGGGACACCUACAACCAGUCAUUACCUCAGCCUCUACCACGCAAAAUCAAGCGACCCAAGCGCAGGCUGUAUCGAGAGGAGCCCACUUCUAUAAUGAAUGCCAUCAAGCUCCGACCAAGACAAGUCCUGUGUGAUAAAUGUAAAGGGGCUGUGGUGCAAGGGGACAGGCGUGAGACACGCAGAGGCCCCAUUUCAGACUGCCGAAGUGACGAUGCCAAAAGACGUCGUAAUGACAGUGCAACGGCAGCUGCCGGUAAGCGGCCACGUAGUGAUCCACGUUCUGAAGAGAAGGGUCGUGGUACUGAUGGGCCCAAACGGCAGGGUUCGGCUGUACGAGUGUCAUCGGCCACUGCCUCUUCUCUGGGCCAUAGUCAGGUCAAGGGUGCAACUGCAGGGAACAAAAUGGUGAAGGGGGUGUCUACUACAACAGCGUCCUCUGCAAACUCUCGAGUGCAGCUCAAUGCCAAAAAAGUUCUUCAGAGCAAAAAUGUUGACCACUCCAAAGCACGAGAGGUGCUGAAGAUGGCCAAGGCUCAGAGAAGACAGAGAGAGACAGUCACGGGCAGUAGCGGGAACACCAAGGCCAUAACCAGGGCCGCUGCCCUCCAGGAAGCCCACCAAAAGGUCCACUUCACCAGGCGACUGCAGCAGAUCAGUGGAGGAGGUCCAGGUUCCAACCCCUUGCCGCCUAGGAUGCGCAUCAAGCCCCAAAGGUACCGUAAUGAAGAGAACGAUUCUUCCUCAUGUAAGCCGCCUUGCUUGGAGAAAGUGCCGGGAGGGGGCCGUUUACUGCUGCCUAAACCAGCCGUGCCCCGCUGCACCUCCACACGCUCCUCCUCCUCCUCCUGCUCUGCAAGCAAAGUCGCCACAGCUGUAGAGCCCCAGAGGCCAGACAAAGCAAUCGAAUCCCUGCUCAGCCAGACCCAACCCGAGCCCCUCCCAGCCCCGGAAUACAGGGAAUCCCAAGCUGAGCCAGAGGAACAGGAGGGGCGGGAGGAAAAGCGGGAGACACGUGGGAGCAAGGCUGGUAACCUAGUGGUCUACAUGACCCUUAACCCCAGCCAGCCCGACUCCUCUAAUACCUCCAUGUGCAGCAUCGAUAGUGCAGAUGACUUAAAGUCAUCAAACUCUGAGUGUAGCUCUACCGAAACGUUUGACUUCCCCCCUCCUGGUGAUUUGCGAUCGGCCCCUGCCCCUGGCACAUCCUCCGCUUUUGCCUCCGCCUCUCCCUCUGCUCCUAAGGAUGACAAAAAGCGCAGUAAAUCCCUCAAAGCUGCCGUCUUUUCCAAAAACGUCACAAAGUGCGUUGCCCUGGAUGGCAGGACAAUUUGUGUAGGGGACAUUGUUUGGGCCAAAAUUCUUGGCUUCCCUUGGUGGCCCGCCCGCAUCCUAGCCAUCACAGUGAGUCGCAAAGAUAAUGGGCUCUUAGUCAGGCAGGAGGCCCGGGUCUCUUGGUUUGGGUCACCCACCACUUCCUUCCUGGCCAUUACUCAACUUGCCCCAUUUCUAGAAAGCUUCCAGUCUCGCUUUGACAAGAAGAGAAAGGGCCUGUAUCGUAAAGCCAUCACUGAGGCCGCCAAGGCUGCCGAACAGCUUACACCCGAGGUCCGAGCCUUGCUAACUCAGUUUGAGACGUGAGGUGGUAUGCUUUGGUAAGGUAGGCAAGACAGGCACUCGAGUUGGCCCUGUACCCAUUCUGACACCUCUCAAACUUUGCUGUACCCAGUCAGCUUCCAGAGUGAAAUACAGAAAAACGUCAGCCAGGCAACCAGGACUAAUUUAUUUUUGUUGAGGAAGCAAGAGAAGGGGAUUGAAUUGAGUAACUGAAGGCAAACGGUUCCCUUGUCAAGUGUCUAGUGUUUGCCCAUAUGUAACCAGUCUUGUCCCAUCUUGUCAUAUCAUCUUACAUUUACUAUACUAAAAGCAGAUGACUGAGAUUUCUAGAAAAAGGUUUUAUUGAUUCUUGAGUGAUAACAAUAUUUGUUGUCCUUGAACAUAUCUGUUCUUGGUCAGUGGCUGCUGUAAACAUGAAAAGCAAGUCUUCUCAGACUGGGAUUUUUUUCAGCGUGACUAGCUUUCGCCUGAAGUUCAUUAGGCAUGUGUGAAAAUGUCUGCUUGAAUCCAUUCUCAAAUGGUUACUAACUAAACAGUGGCCAGUCGAUUGCUACAUAGUCUGGAUCCCUAAUUUAGCACAGUUAAUGCUUCCCAUUGGAUGAACCGAGGAAGUUUUCAAUCACUACAGUGUUUCUAGACGUCCAGUCUCCCUUAAGAUUACAUGAAGCCUUGGAUAUUUUAUUUAGGCCAUCCUAGAAUUGUUUUCUUUUAAUAUUGGAAGUUGUGUAACAAAGUUGACCCUGUUGGGUAGUGAGUGCCUCGCUCAGGUAGAAAAAGGGACUAAAUUGGUGCUGAUCUUUCUCAGAUGUUCUGAGAAGACUAAUCCGAGUUCAGUGAUCCGAGCAGAGGGCUGUUGAUCUGGGCGCGGCUCUUGGCUCGGCAGCCAGUCGCGCUGCUGUUACGGGGGGAGGUGCCUGUAAGCCGAAGUCACCUCAAGUGCCACUGUGAGGGAGAGCACAGUGACUCUGUAAACGCAGAGAGUACACCUCAAACACGGAGAAACCUGCCAGCCUAUCCCCACCCCUCGCAGCUACAACAUCUGCUUCUCAAGCUCAUUCUUCUCUUAAUCUACUUGCCCUGUUCCCAGCUUCUUUUUCUUUUCCUCCACUUGUUUUGCUCCCUCCUGCCGUUGUCAUAUGUUUGCAUCUUCGACUGUGUUUAUAUGUCUGAUUAUGGCGAAAAUGUUCCUGACAGUUUUUGCAUGAAUUUGGGAGAGUAUACAGUGUGUUAAAUGGGUAAAUGAUCUUCUUUUUUUUUUAUUGUUCCAUAUGUUAUUCCAAUUUAGGCAUAUCACUUUAAGAAGCAAACAAGUUUUUAUGUAGCUGCAGUGGAAUGCAGAACUCUUUUAAAAUGAGUUCCUUUAAGUAACUCAAUGAAACACUUGUGUCCCGCUGCAAAGAAGGCAUCGGAGCACAAGGGAGCAGUUCUCAUAUGUGUGAAUAUGUUCGUCAUAAUUAUGGGCCUCUGGCUGGUUUAGUUGUUCAGUGAUUUGUUAUGAUUCCAGUAUUCAUUGUCUCUCAUCUGAAAUGUUUUGCUAAGGAUUAUUGUGCUUUGAAUUUAUUUGUCGUGCCUGAACUUUAUUUGCUGUCAUUUCACUAUUUGAAUAAUAGGGCUGAAGGUCUUGUAAUGUAAAGUGUUCAAAAUGUGUUUCGCCUGACUGAAUUGAAGAUAAAUGACCUGGGUCUUAUUUCAAUGCUGAGAACCAACAAUUUUAUCUGUAUGGAGGAGCAUUAAUAAUUAUUUUUUUUUAUUUCUUGUCUGUAAUCAUGGUUGUGUCUUUUGCAUUGCAUACCCAUUAGCAUCUUAUAUUUACACAUCUGAGAAGGGACAUACUGUAAGAUACCUUGGUCUUUCCACAUAUGACUUCGCAGGUAGAGAUCGAUGACUUGAGGAAAAAAAAACAAUGCUUGGUAGACCACACUGACUGACUGCCAGAGUGCUGCAACUCUGAAGGGCUGCUGAUUGGUCCGUCGCCCAAAGCACUGCCAUUGGUCAAGAGCCGGUAAGAUGAGAGGAGCCACCCACACUUGGAGAAGCAGGUGUAAUGGAGAAAAUAUUUUUAUUUAUGAAAUGAUUAUAUAUUUAUAACUAUGAAUUACAGACUCUCCACCUAUUUCCCGAUCGGUCAUGCUGAAAUGAAUUUUUCAAACUGGAUUUUUCUUUAUGAGGGCUUUUUUUGUGUUUAAAGCAUAUGAAAGAACAUUUGCAAAUACUGAACAGCACAGGGGAGUUACGGCUGUUGUGGAUGGUAGGUGGCGAUUCGGCACACUUUAAAGCAGGGUUUUUAAGUGUUUGUUUGUAAUGAAAGAGAAAUAUGAAGAUAACUUAUAAAAUAAAAUAAAAAAAUAACAUUUGAUGUAAAAAUGCAAUAAAUUUUGCAUGUGCUAUGCUCCACAGUUCAAUUACAGAGGAUUGGGUUUUAUUGUGCUUCUAGUCUUGGAUGAAAUCCCAGUGUUCUUUUACAACAUCUGUGCUCCUUUAUAUCUGAGCGUAAACACAGUCUAGACUGUUCUUGAAGAUUUCCACUCUGUGGCACACCACACAUUAAAUGAUCAAUGCAAUCUGUACAGCGUUACAAAUCCCUCCGACCCACUAGUCGACUUUCACCUUUUUUGUGCUCCCCUCCAUUGAUAAAUGAUUUUCUAACAAUACAAGUCAAACAUAGCAGUAAGAACGCAGUUUUUCUAUCUCUCAGUUGUAGAAUGCUUUGCUUUGAGCAGCAUUCAUCGCACAUGCUCAACCUGAUGCCUGUAUAAAGGGAAUUAAGAGCGAGUGAGAAACCUUCAGUCUUGCUGUUGUACAAUUAGAGAGCUCUCCUGACUAUACAUAUGAAGAUGGUGGUCAUGGGCAUACAUUUGUUUUAUUAUUGUAUUAAAUGUACAUCUCUUUAUGAAAUAAAACCUGUUUUUCUUUU